rnacentral:rRNA from 1 species
AUUGAACGCUGGCGGCAUGCCUUACACAUGCAAGUCGAACGGUAACAGGUCUUCGGAUGCUGACGAGUGGCGAACGGGUGAGUAAUAUAUCGGAACGUGCCCAGUCGUGGGGGAUAACGCAGCGAAAGCUGUGCUAAUACCGCAUACGAUCUAUGGAUGAAAGCGGGGGAUCGCAAGACCUCGCGCGAUUGGAGCGGCCGAUAUCAGAUUAGGUAGUUGGUGGGGUAAAGGCCCACCAAGCCAACGAUCUGUAGCUGGUCUGAGAGGACGACCAGCCACACUGGAACUGAGACACGGUCCAGACUCCUACGGGAGGCAGCAGUGGGGAAUUUUGGACAAUGGGCGCAAGCCUGAUCCAGCAAUGCCGCGUGCAGGAUGAAGGCCUUCGGGUUGUAAACUGCUUUGUACGGAACGAAAAGGCUCUGGUUAAUACCUGGGGCGUCAUGACGGUACCGUAAGAAUAAGCACCGGCUAACUACGUGCAGC